UACAGAGGGUGCGAGCGUUAAUCGGAAUUACUGGGCGUAAAGCGUGCGUAGACGGUUAUUUAAGUCGGGUGUGAAAGCCCCCGGCUCAACCGGGGAGGGUGGCUGCAAACUGGGUUUCUUGAGGGCGGCAGAGGAGAGUGGAAUUCCUGGUGUAGCGGUGAAAUGCGUAGAGAUCAGGAGGAACACCCGUGGCGAAGGCGGCUCUCUGGGCCGUCCCUGACGCUGAGGCGCGAAAGCGUGGGGAGCGAACGGG
rnacentral:rRNA from 1 species